CCUGCCCCUAGAGGCCUUUGCAGGUAUGGCUGCUGUGUCACAUGUGGACCAGAAAGGCAGAGAGGAGAGAGACUGUCUUGAUGCUCAGUGUUGUGACCUAUGCACAUUUAAAUGAUAAGUAGCCUGACAUU